rnacentral:rRNA from 1 species
UACGAAGGGGGCUAGCGUUGCUCGGAAUCACUGGGCGUAAAGGGCGCGUAGGCGGGCUUGCAAGUCUGCGGUGAAAGCCUCCAGCUCAACUGGAGAAGUGCCGUGGAUACUGCGGGCCUCGAGGAGGGUAGGGGCAUCUGGAACGUUGGGUGGAGCGGUGAAAUGCGUUGAUAUCCAACGGAACUCCGGUGGCGAAGGCGAGGUGCUGGACCCUUUCUGACGCUGAGGCGCGAAAGCCAGGGGAGCGAACGGG